GUACCUGAAGAAAAAGCAUCGGCUAACUCCGUGCCAGCAGCCGCGGUAAUACGGAGGAUGCAAGCGUUAUCCGGAAUCAUUGGGCGUAAAGGGUCCGCAGGUGGCGAAUAAAGUCUGCUGUUAAAGACCGGGGCUAAACUCCGGAAAGGCAGUGGAAACUGAUUAGCUAGAGUACGGUAGGGGUAGAGGGAAUUCCCAGUGUAGCGGUGAAAUGCGUAGAUAUUGGGAAGAACACCGGUGGCGAAAGCGCUCUACUAGGCCGAGACUGACACUGAGGGACGAAAGCUAGGGUAGCGAAAGGGAUUAGAUACCCCUGUAGUCUUAGCGGUAAACGAUGGAUACUAGGUGUAGCUUGUAUCGACCCGAGCUGUGCCGAAGCUAACGCGAUAAGUAUCCCGCCUGGGGAGUACGCACGCAAGUGUGAAACUCAAAGGAAUUGACGGGGGCCCGCACAAGCGGUGGAGUAUGUGGUUUAAUUCGAUGCAACGCGAAGAACCUUACCAGGGCUUGACAUGUCGCGAAUCUAGCGGAAACGUUAGAGUGCCUUAGGGAAUGCGAACACAGGUGGUGCAUGGCUGUCGUCAGCUCGUGUCGUGAGAUGUUGGGUUAAGUCCCGCAACGAGCGCAACCCUCGUCCUUAGUUGCCAAUAUUAAGAUAGGCACUCUAGGGAGACUGCCGGGGACAACUCGGAGGAAGGUGGGGAUGACGUCAAGUCAGCAUGCCCCUUACGUCCUGGGCGACACACGUACUACAAUGGUUGGGACAAAGGGCAGCAAACUCGCGAGAGUAAGCGAAUCUCAUCAAACCCAGCCACAGUUCAGAUUGCAGGCUGCAACUCGCCUGCAUGAAGUAGGAUUCGCUAGUAAUCGCAGGUCAGCAUACUGCGGUGAAUUCGUUCCCGGGCCUUGUACACACCGCCCGUCACACCAUGGAAGCUGGCUACGCCCGAAGUCGUUACCCUAACCCGGUUUUGGGAGGGGGAUGCCGAAGGUAGAGCUAGUGACUGGGGUGAAGUCGUAACAAGGUAGCCGUACCGGAAGGUGUGGCUGGAUCACCUCCUUU
rnacentral:rRNA from 1 species